UGUAUUAAAAUAGGAAUGUGAAUGC
rnacentral:piRNA from 1 species